GGGUAUAAUGAGGCAUGCCUAACCUCCCUUCAUGUCUUUGCCUGAACUAUUUUUCAGUUUUUUUCUGGGAUCCACUUGGCCAAGAAGAAAUUCCAUUCAGUCUGUUGAGGGGCUUAGGAUUUCAUUUUUGGUUUACAGGAGCAAGCAAUCAUUAGUGGAGUAAUAAGGAAGGGAAUGCCAUUUAAUACAAAUAUUGAACAAUGGCUAGGUUUUCUUCGCAGAGAAGGUGAGGGGAAACACAGCUCACUUACAUAGUGUACUAUAUAAAUAAAAUUGUGGUUGCCUAGACAAACAUUCUGAGCUCAGAAUUAGAACAAAGUUUGUCUAAAGACCUACGUAAAGUGUGGAGGAGGCAAAUAGACUUAGUACGGAUGGAGGUUCCUAGCAUGCCUUUUAAGAGUUUGUAUUUUUUAAAAUAGUUAUUGGGAAGGCAUUAGACAUUAAUAGGAAGCAGUGACAUAGAUUUGCAGUUUAGAAAAUCAGGAGGAUGUAGAGCAGGUGAAAUGGAGAGAAGAAUCUGUAGGUGGAGAGCUUCCCGUUCUGUCUGAUGGCCAAGAUCAUCCAUACCUCUUCAGUUAUGGAGACAGUAACCUGCAUAGACUUCUUGACCACCUUCCAUACUUACUAAGAGUUGGAUUCCCUGUAGUUCAAAGGAUACAUGUGGAGGUUUGUUACAAAGGUAUACUGCCUGAUGCUGAAGUUUGGAGUAUUACUGAACCCAUCACCCAGGUAUAUAAUCCACCUUGAAGUGACUUUCCUUUCUUUGGGCCUUUUUUUCUACUGGCAAGAACUACUGGCACUGUGUUGAAUAAAAGUGAUGAGAGCAAACAUGCUUGUCAUAUUUUGAAUUUUAGGAGGAUAAUAUUCAGUUUUUCAUCAAGAGGUAUAGUGUUAAUUGUGGAUUUUAAAAUAGAUUCUUUUGUAAAGUUGAGGUAGUUAUUCAUUCCUAUUUUUAUUAUAAAUUAAUACUGUAUUGUGUCAAAUGCUUUAUUUGCAGAUUUAUAUGUUUGUGUAAUUUUUCUUCUUUGGCUAUUAAUUUGGCUGUUAAUAUGGUGGAAUAUAUAUAUUAUAUAGUAUAUAUCAUAUAUAUAUAUAUAUAUAUAUAUAUAUAUAUAUAUAUACACACACACAUACAUACACACCUUAUUUAAGUUUUAGGUUCAGGGGUACACGUACAGGUUUGUUAUAUAGGUAAACAGAUACCAUGGGAGUUUGUUAUACAGAUUACUUUGUCACCCAGAUACUAAGCCUAGUACCCAUUAGCUAUUUUUUCUACUCUUCACCCUCUUCCAUCCUCCACCCUCAUCUAGACCCCAGUAUAUUGUUCCUUUCUUUGUGUCCAUGAGUUAUCAUCAUCUAGCUGCCACUUAUACAUAAGAAAAUGUGGCAUUUAAUUUUCUGUUUGUGCAUUAGUUUGCUAAGGGUAAUGGCCUCCAGCUUCAUCCAUAUUUCAACAAAAUAAAUAAUCUUUUUUAUGGCUACAUAGUACUCUGUGGUGUAUACGUACCACAUUUCCUUUAUCCAAUCUGUCAUUUUUGGGCAUUUAGGUUGAUUUCAUGUCUUUACUAUUGUGACUAGUGCUGUGAUGAACAUACAAGUGUAUGUAUCCUUAUGGUAGAAUGAUUUUUAUUACUCUUGGUAUAUAUCCAGUAAUGGGAUUGCUGCAUCAAAUGUAGUUUUGUUUUUUAGCUCUUUGAGUAAUCACCACACUGCUUUCCACAAUGAUUGAAAUAAUUUUCACUCCCACCAAUAGUGUAUAAGCAUGCCCUUUUUUCCACAACCUCCUCAGUAUCUACUAUUUUUUCACUUUUUAAUAAUGACCAUUCUAAGUGGUAUGAGAUGGUGUCUUGUUAUGAUUUUAAUUUGUGUUUCUCUAAUGAUUAGAUAUACUGAGCAUUUAUUUAUAUGCUUUUUAGCCAUUCAUAUGUCUUCUUUUGAAAAGUUUCUGUUUGUGUCCUUUGCCCACUUUUUAAUGUGUGUGUGUGUGUGUGUGUGUGUGUGUGGUUUCUUUGUCUGUCUUUCUCUUUCUUUUUUGUACAUUUGUUUAACUUCCGUAUAGAUGCUAGAUUAUGCCUUUAUCAGAUGCAUAGUUUUCAAAUAUUUCCUCACAUUCUUUAGGUCUUUGUUUACUCUGUUGAUGGUUUCUUUUUCUGUGCAGAAGCUCUUAAGUUCAAUUAUAUUAGACUGGUCAAAUUUUGCUUGUGUUGCUAUUGCUUUUGACGUCUUCCUCAUGAAAUCUUUGCCUGUUCAUAUGUUCAGAGAGGUAUUGCCUAGGUUGUCUUUCAGAACUUUUUAUCAUUUUAAUAUAAAAGUCUUCAUUCCUUAUUGAGUUAUUUUUUGUAUAUGGUGUAAGAAAGAAGUUCAGGUUCAAUCUUCUGCAUAUGGAUAGCCAGUUUGAAUAUCCAGAACCAUUUGUUGAAUAGGAAAUUCUUUUUCCAUUGUUUAUUUUGGUCAGCUUUGUUGAAGCUCAGAUGUUUAUAUGUGUGCAACAUUAUUUCUGUGCUGUCUAUUCUGUUAUAUAUAUAUAUAUCUAUCUAUCUGUUUGUGUGUGUGUGUGUAUGAGUCUGUUUUUCUACUAGUACCAUGCUGUUUUGAUUACUGCCAUCCUGUAGUAUAGUUUGAAGUCCAGUAACAUGAUGCCUCCAGAAUUGCUCUUUUUGCUUAGGAUUAUAUGGGCUGUUCUGGCUACUUUUUUGUUCCAUAUGAAAUUAUUUAUUUUAUUUUUUAUUAUACUUUAAAUUCUGGGAUACAUGUGCAGAAUGUGCAGGUAUGUUAAAUAGAAUGCCUUAAUAGUAUGAUUGGUAAUAGAAUGAUUUAUAAUCCUUUGGGUAUAUACCCAGUAAUGGGAUUGCCAAAGUUCUAGGGUACAUGUGCAGAACGUGCAGAUUUGUUGAUUUAAUAGAAUGAUUUGUAAUAGAAUGAUUUAUAAUCCUUUGUGUAUAAACCCAGUGAUGGGAUUGCUGGGUCAAAUAGUAUUUCCAGUUCUAGAUCCUUGAGGAAUUGCCACACUGUCUUUCACAAUGGUUGCACUAAUAUACACUGCCACCAACAGUGUAAAAGCAUUCCUAUUUGUCCACUUCCUCUCCAGCAUCUGUUGUCUCUUGAUUUUUUAAUGAUUGCCAUUUUAACUGGCAUGAGAUGGUAUCUCAAUUUGGUUUAGAUUUGCAUUUCUCUAAGACCAGUGAUGAUGAACCUUUUUUCAUAUCUUUGUUGGCUGCAUAAAUGUCUUCUUUGGUAAAGUGUCUGUUUAUAUCAUUCACCAACUUUUUUAUGGGAUUAUUUUUUUCUUGUUAAUUUGUUUUAAGUUAUUUAUACAUUCUGGAUAAUUAGCCCUUUGUCAGAGGAUAAAAAGAUUGUAAAAAUCAUUUCCCAUUCCCAUUCUGUUGGUUGCCGUUUCACUCUAAGCAUUGCGGAGCAGAAGCUCUUUAGUUUAAUUAGAUCCCAUUUGUCUAUUUUGGCUUUUGUUACCAUUUCUUUUGGUGUUUUAGUCAUAAAGUCCUUGCCCAUGCCUAUUUCCUAAAUGGUUUUUUUCUAGGGUUUUUAUGGUGUUAGGUCUUAUAUUUAAAUCUUUAACUAACCUGGAGUUAAUUUUUGUAUAAGGUGUAAGAAAGGGAUCCAGUUUCAGAUUUCUGCAUUCGGCCAGCCAGUUUUCCCAACACCACUUAUUAAAUAGGGAAUCCUUUCCCCAUUGCUUGUUUUUGUCAGAUUUGUCAAAGAUCAGAUGAUUGUAUAUGUGUGGCAUUAUUUAUGAGGUCUCUGUUCUGUUCCAUUGGUCGAUGUCUCUGUUUUUGUACCAGUACCAUGCUGUUUUGAUUACUGUAGACUUCUAGUAUAGUUUGAAGUCAGAUAACGUGGUGCCUCUAGUUUUGUAUUUUUUGCUUGGGAUUGUCUUGGGUUAUAUGGGCUCUUUUUGGUUCCAUAUGACGUUUAAGGUUUAUUUUAUUUUUUCCAAUUCUGUGAAGAGGGUUAGUGGUAGCUUGAUGGGGAUAGAAUUGAAUCUAUAAAUUACUUUGGUCAAUAUGACCAUUUUCAUGAUAUUGAUUCUUCUUAACCAUGAGCAUGGAAUAUUUUUUCAUCUGUUUGUGUCCUCUCUUAUUUCCUUGAGCAGUGGUUUGUAGUUCUCCUUGAAGAGGUCCUUCACAUCCCUUGUUAAUUGUAUUCCUAGGUCUAGUGGAGAAUCUGGACAUCAACUUCCAGGAAAGAAACGGCAAUUCUCCGUUCAUUUCUUGGGUUGUGCCAGUAAAACAGAAGUUUUAAAUUACAUUCACAGUCUUAUAAUGUAAGACCCAAAAUAUCCAGGUUUCAAUAUAAAGGCAUUUCUCAUGCCAUGAAACAGGAAGGAAUAAAACUAAAUCAACAGACACUUAAUAGAUGCCAGUGCAAAGAUAACAGAGGUGUGAGCAUUAUCUGGCAAGGAUAUUAAAGCAACCAUUUUUUAAAAAAUGCUUCAAAAAUCAAAUAUGAACAAGCAUAAAAUAAUAUGUAAAACACUCAGAAACAUAAAUUAUAAAGAAUAAUAUCAGAAUUUUAGAACUAAAACAUACAGUAAUCAAAAUAAACUUAAGGUAUGGGCUACACAGCAAGAGAAGGAGUAGGGGAAAGAAUCAGUAAACAAGAAGAUAGGAAAGUAACAAUUGCCUAUCUCGACAAAAGAAAAUAAUAGACUUAAAAGAUGAACUGAGUUUCAGAGUUUGGGGACUAUAAUGAAAGAUGUAAUAUUUAUGUCAUUUCAGUCCUAAAAGGAGAACAGCAAAAUGACAGGAUUGAAAACACACUUAAAUCAUGAUUAAAAACGUCACAGAUUUGAUAAAAGACAUAAUGCAAAUGCUUUAAGAUACCAAUUAAAGAAAGCAUUUGGUAGAUUCUGUUAAAAACAUGAUCUAAUUUAAAACUGUAUGUAUUAUACAAGACUCAGUUAAAAUAUAAUAAUUACAUUUAUUCAUUAAUAAGAAUGAAUUAACAUUUAUGUAACAAUCCAUUCCAAGCAACAGAAUAUACAUUCUUUCCAAGAGUCCAUAGAUUAUAUGUUGAAAUAGAGCACAUCUUCAUUCAUAAAACACACCUUAACAAAUUUAAAAGAAUUGAAAUCAUAGUGUGUUCUCCAAUCACCAUGCAGUAGUAUAAGGAGUAGACACUUUGUCUUUUUCUCAUUCAUAACAUUUAAUGAAUAAAUAUACGGUAUUUUUUCAUGUUGUAAUGAGGUGGCUCCAUUUUAUACAUUUCUGAGUGUUUUUAUCAUAAAUAGAGUUGCUAAAUGUUAUUACUCCAUCUAUAAAUUGAAUCAUCUGCUAAUUUUUCUUUCUUUUGUGAAUAUGACAAAAUUAGAUUCAUUCAUCUUUUCCACUGUUAGACAUAUCUUUUUUACCAUUUUGCAGAAUUUAUUGUGUAACAAAUCUGCACAAUCUGCACAUGUAUCCCAGAACUUAAAGUAUAAUAAAUAAAUCUGAAAAAAAGAAAAAUGAUUUUUACAGCAUAUAUUCAUUAGCUCUAUAAUUUAUUUUUUUAAAAUGUCUUUUUUAUAUUUGAUAUCAGUUAUGUUGAUCUCAAAUAAACAGGCAGUUUUCUUCAUCUGUUUUCCAAAAGACAGCAAAUUUUGAGUGAUUGGUAUAAU